GUGCCCACUCCCUUGGCUGAGAAGCAACCCCACACAUGAAUGGUCCCAGGAUCCUUUACUGUUGGCAUGACACAGGGCUGAUAGCAUCACUCACCUUUUCUCCUCCGAACAAUCUUUUUUCUGGAUGCCCCAAACAAUCGGAAAGAUGCACUCACAGCUGCCUGCUGCCAUUCCUGAGCAAACUCUGCACUGGUGAAUCCAGAUCUCACAGCUGAAUCAGCUGUAGACGACGAUCCUGGCGCUUGCUGGACUUUCUUGGGCGCCCUGAAGCCUUCUUCCAAACAAUUAAACCUCUCUUUCUGCUGAUCCGAUAAAUGGUUGAUGUCACCAUGGUUAACAGAGGCAGGAUGUGUUUAAUCGCCUGAGUCUGCUUCUUCACUACUGAUAACUGCCUUUAAAAGUCCUUGAUAGUGUCACCAAUCAACCCGCCUUGGGAAUUGGGCGUGUAGAGAAAGAGAACUUUCUCAGUGUCCUUCAUCUCCACAAGGUUGAGCCACAAGUGCUGCACCUGGACCACCAAAGUGGACAUCGUGUGACCCAGGGCGUGUGUUGUGUCCAUAAGUGGGAGAGAUGAAACAUCCGCAUUCAAAAUUGCAGGGGCAAAUCAACAUCUUUUAAAAAAACAGUGUAAGAGCUCAAUUAACACUCAUAACUAUACCUGCCAAAGCACCCAGGGGAAAUUUAAUCGCUGCAAGGAAACAGGUGCACAGGCAUCCAAAGGAAACAAGAUGAGCCACAAUUCAUAAUAAAUAUACAGCAUACUGGCCUACUUUUAUACACGGAUAUCUGGGGUGGAGUCAGGAACACAAAUUUGAUUUGCCAAUUCUCCUUCUUUUUUAAACAGAUCAGAGGUUAUUGGGUUUCAGGAGCAUACCCCUAAUCUCAUCAUCGUCAUAACGUCAAAGUGACUGACAGAAGGGGAACUAAAGUUUACAGCAACUUUUACACUAGAUUACAGAAACAUAAAGCUCACCA